rnacentral:lncRNA from 1 species
UGAUCAAUCAGAUAACAGGGGCAUAUCAGGCCAGAGACCCUACCAUGCAGAACUACCUAGCGAAGGCAAAGGCCAUAGAAGCCGAACUCAAGAGUCGGGGAAUUGCAGUUAGGUAUUAGAGAAUACCUCGGGAAGAGAAUGAAGAGGCAGACCUGCUCAGCCGAUUAUCUAAAAAGGAGCUAGAACAACUCCCUGACGAGGUAUACAUCCAACACAUUAGCACACCUGCCU